AGGCACGAUUGGCCAAGUAUCGGCGAUGAACGGAACGCUCAAAUUUGGAAUCUGGCUCUUUCAGAGUCCGCGUUGUAAUUCGCAGAGGGCGCUUCGGUUUCGGCAGCGGUCCAAGUUCCUCGGAACAGGACGUCACACAGCGGGAAGAAUCCGUACGUGGUCGCUAGCUAUUGCCGUGUAAGGCCCCCUCGACGAGUCGAGUUGUUCGGGAAUGCAGCCCUAAAUGGGAGGUAAAAUUUCUCUAAAGCUAAAUAUUGGCCAGAGACCGAUAGCGAACAAGUAGAGUGAUCGAAAGAUGAAAAGCACUUUGGAAAGAGAGUCAAACAGCACGUGAAAUCGUUGAAGGGGAAGCGCUUGCAGCCAGACUCGCUUGCAGUUGCUCAUCGGGGCUUUUGCCCGGUGCACUCUUCUGCAGGCAGGCCAGCAUCAGUUUGGGCGGUGAGAUAAAGGUCUCUGUCACGUACCUCUCUUCGGGGAGGCCCUAUAGGGGAGGCGACAUACCACCAGCCUAGACUGAGGUCCGCGCAUCUGUAGGAAUGCUGGCGUAAUGGGCUGUAAGCGGCCCUUCUUAAAAAACGCCCCAAGGCCCCCAUUGGCGUUACGCGGCAUCUACCAAUAAAGGGGACCUCCUUAUAGGGGGGGACGUUAGUGGGCACCCCAAUGAAACGCCCCCCCAAAAAAGGGGUCCUGCAA
rnacentral:rRNA from 1 species